CAUAUCAAAAACUUUUAUAACGAUGGAGCCAGAGCCAAAGCCUCAGUUUUAAAACAAUGACUUUGGAGCCAGAGCUGGAGUCACAGCUGAAAUAUACUGUGGCUCUGGAGCUAGUGCCGGAGCCUAACCUAUUUCAAGCCAGCUCCCCAGCCCUGGUUGGUGAAGGGGAGAACAAUGUUUAGGACAUUUAUCCCAACCCAACACGUAUAUUUAUAAUUAAACAAGAUUUAAUUCAAUUGGGGACAAGAGUCCAUGGGCUGGACUUCAUAUAAUCGUGUGUCAUAUUGCGAAUGUCUCUCUCUCUCUCUCUCCCUUGCAUUCGUUUUUGUUCUCCCUUCUAAUAAAAAAAAAAUGUUAACAAAAAAACAGGAAUUUGGAGGUGAGGAGGGACACACCACAUCCAGUCCGGAUUCCUGUCCCUCAUACAGCUUUAAAGAAAAUAAAGUGAUAUCUGUGUUAAAAAUAAUAAUAAUAAAUAAAGCAUAUAUGUGAUUAUGAUAUCCUGAUUGAUUGCAAUAUGCCAAUACAAGAAAAUGUGAGGGAAACAUGUUUUAUUUAGACAAUCUCAUUCAAUCAUGUAAAUAAUAAUUUAAUUUGCAUUGUUUCUUUCUCCC
rnacentral:lncRNA from 1 species